AUAAUGGUGGCAAAAUCUCCCUCUCCUCUGCCUGAGAGGGCCAUUUAUGGGUUUGUCCUUUUCCUCGGCUCACAGUUUGGCUUCUUUCUGUUUUGCCUGUGGGCAUAUAUACCAGAGGAGUGGCUUCAUUCAAUAGGGCUCACUUACUGGCCUCAAAAAUAUUGGGCCCUUGCUGUGCCAAUCUAUCUGCUGGUUGCAUUAGUGAUCACUGUGGUGUUGCUGUUUGGAGUGAACAUGAACAACACGGCUCCACUUGACUCCGUGGACAUCAUCACAGAUGUGUAUGCUCAAGGCCAGAGGACAACAGACUGCCGCAAGGGGGGAAUACCCAGACUGAAAGAUGUUUCCAUCAGUGAAGUCAACAAAAUGUUCUAUUUGUCGCCCAAGCUAUAACAAACAGGGACUGAUUUUAGAUGGAUGCAGAGUAGAGGUGAAGCUGCAGGGGAUUUAUUAUGGUGUAACUGUUUACCUUUUGUUUAUAAAGGAAGGAUUCUAUUUAGUUAUCCAGGAACAAUGCAACAUGGGGUGAAGAUCCACUCAAAGAAAUUACUUUUUCUGAUUUACACACAAAAUGUUGUGCUUUGUGUGUUAAUAACAGUAAUGUGUUGAAUAUUAACCUGCAUACCACUAGUUAUGAUUUUAUUGUAAAAUACAUUCAUCUGAUUGGUCUAAAUCACAACCUGCAACACUGAUCUACAAUUAAGGGCCCAAGUCUGUGUUUUAUCAUUUAUUAUGGCGUGGUACCUGCCUUCCCUUUUUUUUUCACUUCCCUCACAGGUAACUCACUUUAUAGAGAUACUAUACAUUAUCUACAGUAUAGGGUUCCCACUUGUGAUAAUCUGAAGAAUAUCAUGUAAUUUUACUGAGGGGAAAUCAGCACUUCUUCCUAACCUGUCUACAAGUCUGUUCUAUCUGUGC